UACGUAGGGUGCGAGCGUUGUCCGGAAUUAUUGGGCGUAAAGAGCUCGUAGGCGGUGUGUCACGUCGAUCGUGAAAACUUACAGCUUAACUGUGAGCGUGCGGUCGAUACGGGCAUCACUGGAGUUCGGCAGGGGAGACUGGAAUUCCUGGUGUAGCGGUGAAAUGCGCAGAUAUCAGGAGGAACACCGGUGGCGAAGGCGGGUCUCUGGGCAGUAACUGACGCUGAGGAGCGAAAGCGUGGGGAGCGAACAGG
rnacentral:rRNA from 1 species